rnacentral:lncRNA from 1 species
AUAGUUCGAGCUCCCCUCUGCCCCUCCUACGCACAACGGUAUUACCGGUCGCUUCCUCGGAGUCGAAGCAAUCUCCGCCGCUGCGAAUGGAGAACACCGGAGACGACGGAGCCCAUUCGCCACCGGAGCGGCCGCCGCCGCCGAUCCGCAUCAUCCGCCAGCCCUUGGCGAGGCCGUGGAGGCGGCCCCAGCGGCCUCUGCCGCGAGUUUACCAAGUGGAACCCCGAGACUUCCGCUGGUUGGUGCAGAGGCUCACCAGCGCACCGCCGCCGUCUCCACCCGCUCCGCUGCCGCAGCCGCCUAUGGUCACUGACAGCGCCGUCCCUGUGAACCAGAAUACCGUGGCUGGAAGUAGGUUAGCAGAAUCCCCAUCGCCUUCACAGCAUCCGACACACGCAUCAUCGAGUUCUUCCUCCAUUUGGGACCCAAAAAUGAUGGAGUAACCAAAGGAGGACAGCACCGAGUAGAACAAAUUUCCCUAUAUAUAUCUCUUGGUCUUUGUAGAAAGAGCAUACAUAUUGAUACUCUUUUUUAGUGUUCGUAAAACAGUAUCUCUAAUAAAUCGAGAGGGGUGAGGGAACAAGUGAGGGGACUUGUACUUCAAUUUCUCUUGAUUCAAGAAAAGUUAUAAUUUAUUUGUAUAUGAUGAAAUAUUUGAAUUUUUUAUGGACGCAUUCAAAGAAUAUAUAUAUAUAUAUAUAUAUAUAUAUAUAUUAUACCGAAUAUUUCGUGUUGCACCUUAAAAAAGCUAGAAAGGUGGGGAUAUUCUCGUUAGGCCACUGCCUCGUGCCACUUUUCGGUAUGUCCUAUUAGCAUAAAAUCUGUAAUCAUGCUGUCUGUAAUGCGAAAAAACUUUUAAGCCAAGAUUGAAUUCAAAUAAAUUAGAUCUGACAAUAUUACGAUGCGUAUCUUUUUCUUGUUGUUUAGAAAAAUAAAUCUUAUCUGAUCUACAAACACUUCAACUUCGGAUCUGAAAUAUCAAUCUGCAAGGAUCUGCAAGGAAAACUAGAUCCUUAUUAAGGGAGAGGGAGAAAAACGAUGAUGCAUUACUCAGAUGCACACUUAACUCUUAGAGGUCCUGUCUAUCAGAUGUCCCCUUAGCCCCUAGAGGUCUUGUCUAUUUAUAGGCGAGAGUAGAGGGUCUAGGAUAAGUUAUUAGGAGAGUUCCUCCCAUCAAGGUUAUCUCCUAAGGAAUCCUAUUUUAACAUGGACUUCUUUUCUAUUGACCAAUAACCAUAAUCAGAAUCCAAUCAUAUCUAUAAUAUAUCUUACUUAAUUAAAUAGGAACACAUAAUCUUAUAUACUCGAUAGAAGCAAAUAUCAGAACAAAUUUCCCUAUAUAUAUCUCUUGGUCUUUGUAGAAAGAGCAUACAUAUUGAUACUCUUUUUUAGUGUUCGUAAAACAGUAUCUCUAAUAAAUCGAGAGGGGUGAGGGAAACAAGUGAGGGGACUUGUACUUCAAUUUCUCUUGAUUCAAGAAAAGUUAUAAUUUAUUUGUAUAUGAUGA